rnacentral:rRNA from 1 species
UACGAAGGGGGCUAGCGUUGUUCGGAAUCACUGGGCGUAAAGCGCACGUAGGCGGAUGUGCCAGUCAGGGGUGAAAUCCCGGAGCUCAACUCCGGAACUGCCUCUGAUACAGCACGUCUUGAGUUCGAGAGAGGUGGGUGGAAUUCCUAGUGUAGAGGUGAAAUUCGUAGAUAUUAGGAAGAACACCGGUGGCGAAGGCGGCCCACUGGACUGGUAUUGACGCUGAGGUGCGAAAGCGUGGGGAGCAAACAGG